UACCNGAGUACUAUGAAUGAAUAAAAAUUUAAAACUCAAAGGACUUGGCGGUGUCUUAGACCAUUUAGGGGAACCUGUCUCGUAAUCGACAGUCCACGUUAUACCUGACCUUUCUUUGUAAAGCAGUUUGUAUACCGUUGUCGUCAGGUAACUUUUUAGAAAAAUGAAGUUAGCAAUAUAAAUAAAUUAUUUGGGACGUCAAAUCAAGGUGCAGCUAAUGGAGAGGAGAGGAUGGGUUACAAUUAUUUAAUUUAUAAUUUUACGGAUAUAGUUAUAGAAAAAUUCUAUGUAAGGAGGACUUAAAAGUAAAUUGAUAUAUAAAAACAAUUUGAAUGAGGCUCUGAGACGUGU
rnacentral:rRNA from 1 species